AUUGAACGCUGGCGGCAGGCCUAACACCUGCAAGUCGAACGAGUGGCGGACGGGUGAGUACUGUCUGGGAAACUGCCUGAUGGAGGGGGCUAACUACUGGAAACGGUAGCUACUCCCGCAUACCAUCAGAUGUGCCCAGAUGGGAUUAGCUAGGUGGUGGGGUAACGGCUCACCAGGGCGACGCUCCCUAGCUGGUCUGAGAGGAUGACCAGCCACACUGGAACUGAGACACGGUCCAGACUCCUACGGGAGGCAGCAGUGGGGAAUAUUGCACAAUGGGCGCAAGCCGGAGGAAGCCAUGCCGCGUGUAUGAAGAAGGCCUUCGGGUUGUAAAGUACUUUCAGCGGGGAGGCGUUACCCGCAGAAGAAGCACCGGCUAACUCCGUGCCAGCAGCCGCGGUAAUAC
rnacentral:rRNA from 1 species